UGGUGGAGUGAUUUGUCUGGUUAAUUCCGUUAACGAACGAGACCCCUGCCUGCUAAAUAGUGCGCCGAGUGUUUUCACUGGGUAGCGCUUCUUAGAGGGACGUGCAUUCGACUAGUUGCAGGAAGAUAGGGGCAAUAACA
rnacentral:rRNA from 1 species